rnacentral:rRNA from 1 species
GACGAAUGCUGGCUGCGUGCUUAACACAUGCAAGUCGAACGGUGAAGGAGGGCUUGCCCUCCGGAUCAGUGGCGAACGGGUGAGUAACACGUGGGCAACCUGCCCCUCACUCUGGGAUAACGCCGGGAAACCGGCGCUAAUACCGGAUACGACCAGGCGCGACAUCUCGCCUGGUGGCAAGACUUUCGGUGAGGGAGGGGCCCGCGGCCUAUCAGCUAGUUGGUGGGGUAACGGCCCACCAAGGCGACGACGGGUAGCCGGCCUGAGAGGGCGACCGGCCACACUGGGACUGAGACACGGCCCAGACUCCUACGGGAGGCAGCAGUGGGGAAUAUUGCGCAAUGGGUGAAAGCCUGACGCAGCGACGCAGCGUGAGGGACGAAGGCCUUCGGGUUGUAAACCUCUUUCAGCGGGGACGAAGCGAAAGUGACGGUACCCGCAGAAGAAGCACCGGCUAACUACGUGCCAGCAGCCGCCGUAACAC